GUGUGGUGACAGUUUUCUGCUGAUACUAAUCUGGGGUCUUUCAUCACCCUGUUCAGUGUGCUUGAACCCUGCCCAUACAUUUGUAAAUAGUCCACUCCAUGAAUUCGCCUUAAUAUCCAGCUUGAUUAUGAUAUCUGCUUCCUGAAAUUCAACAGACAGACCUAGAAAUCGAAAGAGCCGGGUUCUCAUCCUGGCAAUGUGACAGCUAUGUGCUUUUGGGAAGCCCCCUCCCCUCUGGGCUUCAGUCUUUUCCUAUGUACGCUGGUGACUUGACUAAGUGUCUCUAAGGCCCCUCUUAUGCCACAACAUUGUUCUCACAGAUCUCCCAGGAUCCCUAGGACAGUACUGUACAGAGAGACGGUGCUGGAAACUCCUUGGCCUAAGGCUGCUGGGGUUGAAAAAGGAGAGAGUGCCUGGGGAGCCCAAAGAUUUGGAGGGAGGGUGUUGGGAUCCUUAAUUAUUGGUUCAACUUAGGGACUAGACAGUGAAAGAAUAAAAUUACCUGGUGAGUCCUUAGCUAUCUGUAUCAACCAGAUUUCACCAAGAAAUAGAACCAGUAGGGUAUUGAGCGGGAGGAGAGAGAUUAAGCCAGAGAAAUAGAGAUUGCAUGGAACUGGCUCGCAUAGCCAUGGAGGCUGGCAAGUCCAAAAUCUACAGGCCAGGCUGCAGUCUAGAGAUCCAGGGAAGGACUGAAGCUGCAGUUUGAGUCUGAAGGCAGUCUGCUGGCAGAAAUUCCUCUUCUUCAGGCUUUUUCUAUUAAGGAGGUCGUUGCUCUAUUUUAUUGAGGCCUUCCACUGAAAGGAUGAGGCUCACCCAUAUUAUUGAGGCGAAUGUGCUUUACUCAAAGCCUAUUGAUUUAAAUUAUAACUUCAUCCUAUAAAAAUCAUCUUAGAAACAGAAUAAUGUCAAAUAUCUGGGUCCCAAGGCCUAGCUAAGUUGACACAUAAUAUUAACCAUAAUAUCUUCAUUCUGACAAAUCGUGUUUCCUGAGAGAAGGACCUAGACAGGACAGAGAUGAGCCUGAGGACAAUGUCAACUGGAGUAGAGGGGAUCUGUGAGCACCAACUCCAGUGUGGUCUCAGGCAGCAUCAGUAGAAGCCAAGGGAUCCAUGUGCUUUCAGACCAGACUGUCCCAAUUCAAAUGUGCAUGUGAAUUACCUGGGAUCCUGGUUGGGGGCCUGAGACCCAGCAUUUCUCACAAGGCCCCAGGAACUUCCCACAGUGGUUGGAGGGUCACAAUUUGAGAAACAGGGUGGAGGGGUUAAGAGCUCAGGCCCUGGGGUUAGACUUGUCGGGUCCAGUCCCAGCUGUAUCCUCUUAUUGACUACAUUACUAAGGGAGGUACUUACCCAGCCUGAGUCUCAGUAUGCAUGUGUGCUAGGUCACAUCAGUCAUGUCGGACUCUUUGCCACCCCAUGGAUUGUAGCCCACCAGGCUACAGUCCAUAGGGUCGCAAAGAGUCAGACAGGACUGAAGCAACUUAGCGCACGCACACACACACACACACACACACACACACACACACACACAUAAUUAAAGAGAAAAUGAACACGCAGUAUUAGUGGCACAGAGCUCAAGCCCAUUAAAAGCUUUUGGCUACCAUCAUCUAUAUGAGUACCAGAUUUCUAAGGAGUCCAUGUCAAGUAAGAUAUAAAUAUUAAUAAAUCUCAUAUCCAUUGAUCCAGAUGGUAAAGGCACCUACCCAUAAAACCACCAGAAGAACAGUCAAUAAAAUUGAGAAUAUUCUCCCUGGAGAAGAAUAGAUGUGGUAAGGAGGCAGAAGGGGAGUGGAGGCAGAACAAGAAAUGCUUAAGGGCUCCCUGAACACACUUGAGUGUCAGUGGAAAUGAAAUGAGAAUGAGCCUACAAGGCUCCAGAAGCUUAAACAAAGAGCAAGACACAGAUCUGGGAGGUCAAGAUGGGAUCAGUAAAAGAACUAGAGAGUAAUUAAAACUGCCCAGAAGUGAAGCAGGCUGCAUGCACUGGGAGAUCCAUCCACCACCAGAGCUGGACUAGCGAGCUGCACCACCACCCCUCAGUCUCACGCUGAGAGCCUGGUGCCACAAAUCCACGGGACAAUUCCUCAAACCCUCCAAGAGCUUCUAGAACUCAGAGCCACUGACGUCGGUGGCUCUCUCUGGAAAUGGUCUCCAACGCGUAAUUGUGGUGCUCCAGUCUGCUAUCCAAGGGCCUCUCCUGGGGGACACUUGGCACAUUGCAGGCUUAGUCAUGACACAUCAGACGAUUCAUUCAGAUUUCUUCAAUUCCAUUAUCG
ensembl:lncRNA